rnacentral:rRNA from 1 species
GUGGGGAAUUUUGGACAAUGGGGGAAACCCUGAUCCAGCCAUGCCGCGUGCGGGAAGAAGGCCUUCGGGUUGUAAACCGCUUUUGGCAGGAACGAAACGGCGCGCGCCAAUACCGCGCGCUAAUGACGGUACCUGCAGAAUAAGCACCGGCUAACUACGUGCCAGCAGCCGCGGUAAUACGUAGGGUGCAAGCGUUAAUCGGAAUUACUGGGCGUAAAGCGUACGCAGGCGGCUAUGCAAGACAGGUGUGAAAUCCCCGGGCUCAACCUGGGAACUGCACUUGUGACUGCAUGGCUAGAGUCCGUAAGAGGGGGGUGGAAUUCCACGUGUAGCAGUGAAAUGCGUAGAGAUGUGGAGGAACACCGAUGGCGAAGGCAGCCCCCUGGGAUGAGACUGACGCUCAUGUACGAAAGCGUGGGGAGCAAACAGGAUUAGAAACCCGGGUAGUCC